rnacentral:rRNA from 1 species
UACGGGGGGGGCAAGCGUUGUUCGGAAUUACUGGGCGUAAAGGGCUCGUAGGUGGCCAACUAAGUCAGACGUGAAAUCCCUCGGCUUAACCGGGGAACUGCGUCUGAUACUGGAUGGCUUGAGGUUGGGAGAGGGAUGCGGAAUUCCAGGUGUAGCGGUGAAAUGCGUAGAUAUCUGGAGGAACACCGGUGGCGAAGGCGGCAUCCUGGACCAAUUCUGACACUGAGGAGCGAAAGCCAUGGGAGCAAACGGG